rnacentral:rRNA from 1 species
GACGAAGGUGGCGAGCGUUGUUCGGAAUCACUGGGCUUAAAGCGCACGUAGGCGGGCUGUCUUGCACCUUGUGAAAUCCCCCGGCUCAACCGGGGAAUGGCUAGGUGAACGGGCAGUCUUGAGGCAGGUAGAGGUGUGGAGAACUCUUGGUGGAGCGGUGGAAUGCGUAGAUAUCAAGAGGAAUGCCGGAGGCGAAGGCGCCGCACUGGGCCUGUCCUGACGCUGAGGUGCGAAAGCCAGGGGAGCAAACGGG